UCGGGAAUUUUGGGCAAUGGGGGAAACCCUGACCCAGCAACGCCGCGUGAAGGAUGAAGUAUUUCGGUAUGUAAACUUCGAAAGAAUAGGAAGAAUAAAUGACGGUACUAUUUAUAAGGUCCGGCUAACUACGUGCCAGCAGCCGCGGUAAUACGUAGGGACCAAGCGUUGUUCGGAAUUACUGGGCGUAAAGCGUACGUAGGCGGUGACUCAAGUCAGAGGUGAAAGCCUGGAGCUCAACUCCAGAACUGCCUUUGAAACUAGGUCGCUAGAAUCACGGAGAGGUGAGUGGAAUUUCCUGUAUAGCGGUGAAAUGCGUAGAUAUAGGAAGGAACACCAGUGGCGAAGGCGACCACCUGGACCGAUACUGACACUGAGGUGCGAAAGCGUGGGGAGCAAACAGGAUUAGAUACCCCCGUAGUCCCUGAGCGGGCUGGCAAGGCGCAU
rnacentral:rRNA from 1 species